CGUUCCGAAGACGAAGAACACAUUCUGCAAGAACAAGGAAUAUCGGAAGCACACCUUCCACAAGGUCUCUCAGUAUAAGAAAGGCAAAAACGACCAAGAAAAUUGUGUUGAAGCUGCAAUGUUAGAGUUGCAAACAUUACUCGCAGCACCCAAUUAAGAGAUGCAAGCCCUUUGAGAUUGGUGGAGACAAGAAAGGGAAGGGUACAUCUCUUUUCUAAUUUGUUGGGCAUCUCCCAGUUUGUUACUUUAUUGCCUUUGCUUUUUCCCUUAAAUGAACAAGUAUUAAGGGAAGUUCCUUUUUAAUUAUUGAUGUCAUUUCAAAUUCUUGUUUAAUGAAUAUCGGCACCAAUAAUUAUAGUUCCCUUCUAUUUUGUUGACAACAGUUGGUGCAUCCUCUAAUAGUCAGGAUAAAAAAAAUUCGCAGCUUAAACCAUUUAGUUUUCUAC